CAUUUCUGGUUACGCUUUCCUCUCCGGCCUUUCCAUCAUCGCCACCAUUUCGCACCUCCUCCACACCGGCAAACAACUUCACGUCGCAUGAUCUCGCGGGAGCGCUCGAGGAUAUGCAAGUGGCGGCCGCUGCGGCGUCAAUGCGCGGCACCGAGACGGUUGGCGCGAAGUCUGCUGCGCGGCGGUUGAGCCGCGUGCUGGUCGGGCGCCGCCGCCGGGCCGCCGUGCUGCUCCUCGCGCUGGCUUACGCGGCUGCGAUGCUCAUGCUCACCAUUGGCGGCAGCGAGGGGUCUGGAUCCAGCGGCGUGGUGGCGGGUGUGCUAAGGCGGGGCGCGCAAUCGGCGCCCCCCGGGUCGGUGUACCGCAGCCACCUCGUGUUCGAACGGCUGCUCCCGGAAAUGCGCGCCUUCGCCUCCCGCCCGAACCCGGUGAGCGUCCCUAGUUAGUGACAUCUCAAUACAAAAAGUUUGGAAAGCAAUGGGAACCUUGUAUCAGCAAGGGGUUGAUACACUCAGAGCUACCGCCUUCAAAUGGUUUCCUCAUAGUUGAGGCAAAUGGUGGCUUGAAUCAACAACGCAUUUCAAUUUGUGAUGCUAUUGCCGUGGCCAAAAUUCUUAAUGCAACUCUUGUGACACCAGCAUUUCAUUUGAAUAGCGUUUGGCGUGAUUCUAGUUUUCAGCAAAUUUGGUGAUAUCUUUGACGAAGAUCACUUCAUUGAGUCACUUAGAAAAUAUGUAAGGGUUGUAAAAGAUCUUCCUGAAGAUGUUUUUCUGCGAUUCAACCAUAAUAUCAGCAUAAUACCAAACAUGAGAACCAAAGCUUUCUCACCCCCAAGUUACUACUUACAACAUGUGCUUCCAAAGCUGUUGGAGCUAGGGGCUGUGCGUAUUGCCCCUUUCUCAAAUAGACUGGCUCAUUCAGUUCCUAUGAAUAUCCAGGCAUUGAGAUGUUUGACAAACUAUAAGGCAUUAAGAUUUUCUGAACCAAUAAGAAUUCUUGCAGAUAAUAUGGUUGACCGAAUGAUCAAGAGGAGUUUUUUAAGUGGCGGGAAGUACGUCUCGGUUCAUCUUCGCUUUGAAGAGGUUUUACUAAAGUUUAUCUUGUGUGGACUAAUAUUACUACUUUUCUCAAGUUGUGAUGAGUUAUAUGUCUAGGACAUGGUAGCUUUUUCAUGCUGUAAUUAUGAUGGUGGCUCGACGGAGAAUAAUGCAAUGGAAAAUGCUCGCGAAAGGAGCUGGAGAGGGAAAUUCCACCGACCUGGUCGAGUGAUAAAUCCUGAGGCUAACCGAAGGAAUGGGAGAUGCCCUUUGACACCUUUGGAGGUUGCAAUAUUUGUUCCUUGCAAUCUUGCUUUUUCCUGAAUUGCUUGAGCCCAUGCCAUGUUUGAGGUUCUGCUGUCUACUAAUAUACAAUUACAUCACAGACAGAGAGCGCCCGGUCAUAUUGGCAGAUCAUUUCUAGAUUGUCUUGUCUUACUCCUUGAAUAGAACAAUUAUCCUCACCUAAUUUAUAAGAUUGGACUUCAUCUCUGAUAAAAAAUUAGGGGAACUGUAUUUGCUUCGUUUUAUAAGGUAUCAUGUAACUUAUAUUUUCUUACUAGUUCAGUUUAUACAAGGUCGGAAUGAUGCUGCGAGGAAUGGGAUUUGACAACACUACUUCCCUUUAUGUUGCAUCCGGUAAAAUAUAUAACGCUGAAAAGUACAUGACUCCUCUUCGACGGUUGUUUCCAUUUCUACAAACAAAACACGCUCUAGUUACACCUGAGGAGCUUGCACAGUUCAAGGUACCUUUUUCCUUGAUUAUUCCAGUCCUCAAACAAAUUUUAGAAAGUGUGCCUCCCUUAUCCUGUUUGUAUUGCAUCAAGAAAUGGAGGCCAGGUAUCAAAGGAUAAGUUGGCCUUCUUACACACUCUGUAGGGACAUUCAUCAAGACUUGCAGCACUGGACUAUACUAUCUGUCUUCAUAGCGAAGUGUUUGUGAUGACACAAGGAAGCAAUUUCCCUCACUUUCUGAUGGGGCACAGACGUUAUAUGUAUGGAGGACAUGCAAAGACAAUAAAACCAGAUAAGCGGAAGCUAGUUCAACUCUUUGACAAUCCAAAUAUCAGGUAUAUUUUCUUUUCUUUUUUCUCGAACAACACAGGAGAGCUGCACGUCAUUUCAUUAAGGUAGAAGAAAGGCAGGAGUGCCAAAACAAAUACAAGAACACCUGACGCACACCCACUGUACGUCACGCCUCCCAUCCUGGAGGCGCUAAAACCCAAACAGAAGAGAAAAAAGAAAGACGGCCAGGGAAAGGAACCUCAACAGGCUCCUAAUCCCCCAGACUAGACACCGUGGCCAUGAGCUCUUGGAUCUUUUUUGCUCCAGCGCUGCACCAGAGACUACUUUCAUCCCUAACAGCCCUGAGAACUUCCUGAACAUUGGGCCUAUGUUGCUCAAACAAGCAAGCAUUACGAUGCUUCCACAGUUCCCAAGCGACCAAAAUGAUAAAAGAAUUUAGACCCUUCCGCAUUUCCUUAGGAGCAGUUGAGAUUACUGUCCACCACCAUUUUGAAAAACGGAAGCAUCUGGCGCCAAGGCAGUAAGGCCCAACUGAAGAAAGAUGCUUGCUCAUACUUGUCUAGCAAAAACACAGCUGGCCAAGAGAUGGUGAAUGUCUUCAUCAUCUUGAUCACAGAGCGGGCACACAUCAGGGUGGGGCAAGCCUCUCUUAGCAAGGCGAUCAACCGUCCAACACCGGUUAUGGAACACCAGCCAAAUGAAAAACUUACAGCGAGGAGGUGCCCAGCUCUUCCAUAUUCUUCUCCAAGGUCCAAAUGUGAUGGUGCCAAUGAAAUAAGCACUAUAUGCUGACUUACUCUUGUGAAUGCCGGAUUGUGUUAAUCUCCACACAAAUUGGUCCGGCACAUGUUGCUGCAAAAAUAGACCAUCUACCAUGUGCCAAACCUUUAGGUACUCGAAUAUAACCUGGACUGUGAGCGCUCCUUUGAUGUCAUCCACCCAUCUUUGGUUUUGGAGAGCUUGGGCUACCUCUUCCUCUUCCUCUUGGCUGUCCGCUUUGAGACAGCACUAAAUAAGCUGGGUGUCACUUCAGAUAUGGUAUGGCCAUCCAGCCAUCUGUCUGUCCAGAAGAGUGUUUGCUCAACGUUCCCAACAAUGACGUCCACUGCAAUGUUGAAGAGGGCCUGAGCAUUGCGAGGGACUUGAGUUGGGAGGCCUGCCCAAAGGCUACUAGGAACAGUUUUCUCAGCCACAACCAGCAAAUCCGCAACGCUCAGCCAAGCAGAUACAGAUUAUGAAUUCCAAGACCACCAUAUUCCAGAGGCCGCUGCACCCUUUCCCAAGAGACCAAACAGUGACCUCCUUUAGCUUGUUCCUGACCCUUUCAGAGAAAACUCCUCCUUUUGUCGAUGGCUUUUAGAACCCACUUUGGUAGAUCCAUGGCAAUCAAAAGGUAAAUAGGAGCAGCAGUUAACACUACUCGAACCAUUACCAAUCUGCCUGCACGGUUCAUUAAGGAAGCUUUCCACCCCGGCAAAAAUUCUGCCACCUUAUCAAUUAAUGGCAGCAAGACCUCCUUUGUGGGUUUGCCAAUUAGCCCAAGAUAAGUACAAGGAAAAUCCUUGACUGUACAGGACUUCCGUGAGACAUAUACAAUUAUUGCAUUCAGAAUAUUCAUGACCAAAAUGAAUAGCAUUGGAGACAAAGGAUCUCCCUGUCUUAAACCCCCGUCUAUGAUAAAUUGUCUCCCCUGGCUCACCAUUCACUAGAACUUGUGUAGAGGAAGUAGAUAACAGCAAACAUAAGAGAUUAAUCCAUCGCUGUCCAAACCCAAUAUGCCUAAGAAUUUCCAAUAAAAAGGACCAGGAGACCGAAUCAAAAGCUUUAGAUAUGUCAAGUUUAAGGAGGAUGUGAGCUUCUUUCUUCUUAUUCUUGUGCAGAGCCUUGACCGUUUGUUGGACAAACAUAAAAUUAUCAUGAAUUCUUUGACCUUUCACAAAAGCAGUCUGGUUGGGGCUGAUCAAAAUCGGUAGAACAGGGGCCAACCUAUUGGCCAUUAUUUUUGUUACUAAUUUAGCAAAGCUAUGCACCAAGCUGAUAUGGCGAAAAUCUGUAACCUGAGAAGCAUCCUGUUUCUUAGGUAACAAGGUAAUGAAGGCCGAAUUCAGGAGACAAAAUUUGAAGACAUGACCUCAGAUAAAUAGCGUCUAAAGCCAUCAAAAUAUCUCCCUUGAUGAUACUCUAGCAAGAUUUAUAGAAGUGGUCAGUAAAGCCAUCUGGCCCUGGCGCCUUGUCCAUUGGCAUGUCUUUUAUAGUUGCCCAUAGCUCCGCUUCCAUGAAAGGAGCAUCUAGUUGAGAGAGCUCAAUCUGCUGUAUACCCAAUUCUGCAAGGUCAACGGUAUAAAUUGGUUCUUCAGCUUUCCCCAGCAGGUUUUCAUAAAAGUCUAGCACAACUGCUUGCUUGUCCUCUUGGGAAACUGCUAUCUGAUCACCAACAUUAAGCUUGGGUAUGAAAUUCUUCUUCCUGAACCUUGCUUGCUGAUGGAAGAAGGCUGUAUUAGCAUCGCCGUCUUGGAGAUAGAGGAUACAGGACCGCAAGCGGGCAAUGGUUCUUUCAAGGGAGGCCAGGCCAAGGCAGUGUAGUUUAAGCUUCCUCCGCAGCCACUCCUGUUCAGAGAGAUCCCUUGAAUCACGCUCAAUUUCCAGUCGAUGUAAGAUUUCUUUGGCCAUUUCCAUCUGAACUUUGAUGUUGCCCACCUUCCUCUGACCCCAUUUCUGCAGCCCUUUACUGAGCCUUUGCAAUUUCAGAAAUAGGCGCUCAACUGCACAAUUUGAAGACACAGGAGCUUCCUAAUUCUGCUUCACCGCAUCCAAGAAGCCCGGUAUUUUGGUCCAAAAACUUUCAAAAUGGAACCGACGCUUACCAGCAGUCUUCACUUUGAGGCCAAGUAUGAGGGGGUAGUGGUCAGACACUCCUGCUGUCAUGCUUUGCAGAAUUGACUCCGGAAAUAAACCAUCCCAAUCAACACAGCAAAAGGCUCUGUCCAGCCUAACCAAAGUACGGGUCUACGGGACUGCCGCUCAUUAGACCAAGUGUAUUUCCUUCCAAGCAGGGGGAUCUCCUUGACCUCCAUAUCAUUCAAGAAGCGUCUGAAACUUGCCAUCAUCGCUGUAUCCAGGUUUGCAUUGUUUUUGUCAGCAGCCUGAUAGAUGAGAUUAAAGUCACCUGCUACUAGCCAAGGGCCACUGUAGAUCGCCCUGAUAUCCCUGAGUUCCUGCAGGAAGGACACUUUCUCAUCGUCUCCCUGUGGUCCAUAAACUCCAGUGAACUUCCGGCCUUCUUGCUCAGCAAAUUGAAUUUCGUUCAUCCUCGUGAAGUUUCAUAAACUGUCAAUGAAUGUGGCUUGAAAUUCGUCCACAUGUAGCCAUUUUUGUGUCCAAGAUAACGGUCAUCUGAUGACCCUUAUUUCAUAAAGGUUUCGCCAAACAUGAUUGCCUCUGUGUUUAUUCUAAUCUAAUUACAGUAUACCGAAUCCUUUAUGUGCAUGCUGACACUGACAUACAUUGAAUCUUCUGUAACUGGUUACUUUCUUUUAGUUCUGAACACCUGCAAUGGGCAGAACACGAAAGGGUUUAUGAUUUUUUUUUCGUAAUCAUCAUCUAGUUGUGGAGUAUCAAAGCUAAUCUUGUACGUAGAUGGGAUCGAUUCAAGCACCACAUGCAGGACAUGCGUCGGCACAGUGAGAUGAAAGGUUUCGCAUUAAGGAAACCACAGGAAUCCAUAUACACCCUUCCUAUGCCUGACUGCAUGUGUCAGCAAGCUGAAGCACGAUCAAGGGACACGGCAAGGAGCUAGGCAUGUUCCACCCUUCUUCUAACUUGUAAGCAGGCACAUUAAGCAAAGGAAAAAUAAAUAUUGGUUUGAGCGUAGAAGAGAAUAUAGAGAUUUCAAAUUAUAUGGCCCUUGAUAUGAAUCCCUUCCUCAAAUAAUAGAGGUUCAUCAGUGAGUAUUUGUAUAUGUGUGAAGAAGGUACUCCGCAAUCUAUUGUACUUGUACAUUGUGCUGGAUAACUUACAAAGAUUUUUUCUUCUUAUGAGAUUAAUCUCCAGCGUGAGCUCAAUCA